GACGAACGCUGGCGGCGUGCUUAACACAUGCAAGUCGAACGGAAAGGCCCUGCUUUUGUGGGGUGCUCGAGUGGCGAACGGGUGAGUAACACGUGAGUAACCUGCCCUUGACUUUGGGAUAACUUCAGGAAACUGGGGCUAAUACCGGAUAGGAGCUCCUGCUGCAUGGUGGGGGUUGGAAAGUUUCGGCGGUUGGGGAUGGACUCGCGGUUUAUCAGCUUGUUGGUGGGGUAGUGGCUUACCAAGGCUUUGACGGGUAGCCGGCCUGGGAGGGUGACCGGCCACAUUGGGACUGAGAUACGGCCCAGACUCCUACGGGAGGCAGCAGUGGGGAAUAUUGCACAGUGAGCGGAAGCCUGAUGCAGCAGCGCCGCGUGCGGGAUGACGGCCUUCGGGUUGUAAACCGCUUUCGCCUGUGACGAAGCGUGAGUGACGGUAAUGGGUAAAGAAGCACCGGCUAACUACGUG
rnacentral:rRNA from 1 species